GACGAACGCUGGCGGCGUGCCUAACACAUGCAAGUCGAACGAGGUCCAUGCAGUGGCAACACUGCGGAAGACCUAGUGGCGAACGGGUGAGUAACACGUGAGGAACUUGCCCCGGAGACC
rnacentral:rRNA from 1 species